AAGAAGCGCCGGCUAACUACGUGCCAGCAGCCGCGGUAAUACGUAGGGCGCAGCGCUGUCCGGAAUUAUUGGGCGUAAAGAGCUCGUAGGCGGCCUGUUGCGUCCGCUGUGAAAUCCCAGGGCUUAACCCUGGGCGUGCAGUGGAUACGGGCAGGCUGGAGGCAGGCAGGGGAGAACGGAAUUCCCGGUGUAGCGGUGAAAUGCGCAGAUAUCGGGAGGAACACCGGUGGCGAAGGCGGUUCUCUGGGGCCUGUUCUGACGCUGAGGAGCGAAAGCGUGGGGAGCAAACAGGAUUAGAUACCCUGGUAGUCCACGCCGUAAAGGUUGGGCGCUAGGUGUGGGUCCCNUCCACGGGGUGCUGUGCCGCAGCUAACGCAUUAAGCGCCCCGCCUGGGGAGUACGGCCGAAGGC
rnacentral:rRNA from 1 species